GACGAACGCUGGCGGCGUGCCUAAUACAUGCAAGUUGAGCGAUGAAGAUUGGUGCUUGCCCCAAUUUGAAGAGCAGCGAACGGGUGAGUAACGCGUGGGGAAUCUGCCUUUGAGCGGGGGACAACAUUUGGAAACGAAUGCUAAUACCGCAUAACAACUUUAAACAUAAGUUUUAAGUUUGAAAGAUGCAAUUGCAUCACUCAAAGAUGAUCCCGCGUUGUAUUAGCUAGUUGGUGAGGUAAAGGCUCACCAAGGCGAUGAUACAUAGCCGACCUGAGAGGGUGAUCGGCAACAUUGGGACUGGGACACGGCCAAAGCUCCUACGGAAGGCAGCAGUAGGGAAUCUUCGGCAAUGGACGAAAGUCUGACCGAGCAACGCCACGUGAGUGAAGAUGGUUUUCGGCUCGUAAAACUCGGUUGGUAGGGAAGAUCGUUGGUGGGAGUGGAAAGCUCAUCAAGUGACGGUAACUACCCAGAAAGGGACGGCUAACUACGUG
rnacentral:rRNA from 1 species